rnacentral:sRNA from 1 species
CGGCAAGGGUGCCAGAAGGAUUUAGACUCAGGAUGAGGGGUCAGGAACGCCAGGAGGCGAAGACCUACGGAAUCUGUCAGGAUGACCAACGUCUGGAGACGUUACGCAAGGAAAGGGAACAAUAACAGGGACUGUUAUAGAGCUAACGGAUAAACAGGGUGCGUUGAAAGCAAACACGGAAUGUAGAACCCGUAAUGGGUUGUGAGUCAGGAAAAAAGGCGACAGAUUACUCUGUCGCCUUUUUUCUUUGUUUGCUU